UCUCUCCCUUUGCUGGCCGAGAGCCAUUCUCGCCUCCCUAGGCUUGGAUCUACUUCUUCACAGAUAGAGUUCCUUCCCAUUCAUUUUGUUUGGUGUCCUCCCUCUAUACAAAGAAAGAAGAAGAGAAAAAUCUUUUUCCUAUUUGUUUUCUGUGCAAGCCGUGAGACUUCUCCCUGUUUUUCCCCCCUUUGAAAUUCUUCUUUUUCCAUUGUAGAGACCUUGGUGUCCUAGCCUUAGCCUUGGUUGUUCAGGUUUUUCUUGAGUGGUUAGAGAGAUAGAGAUUUGAGAGGGUUUUGUGAAGAGAGCUUGCAAUUCGUGAAGGGUUCUUGGAGGAUCUUGAAGCUAGGAGGGUUUGUUGGCUUGGACCUACACUCUUCGCCUUUUCGUCUUCUUACUCAUAUCUUGAGUAUUGAUGACAAUGUUGGCUUACUGACUGGAGCUAAUUUUGAAGACAUAACUAUGAUCAACCAUAAUAAUAAGACAGGCAGAUGGAUUUCUUCAUUCAGAGCAAUAUGGGGUUGGGAUGAUUCAUAUCUCUUCAUUGGUAAUAUGAAAAGAGGAGUUGAUGUUAUCUCCACGGCUAGGAGAGUAUGUGUUGCGACUUUACAGAGCCCAAAUUUGUCUGCAAUUCCAUGCCGCUUUGAUACACACCCUUACCAGAUUGGGAUGCUUGCAGGAGCCACAAGUGGAGGCCAGGUUUACACAUGGACAACAACUUGAGCUUCUCUUUUUCAACCACCAUUGUUGUCCUUUAACUUAAAAUUGACUUCUUGAUGAACAAUCAAUCCAGUUUGUAUGUAUGCUACUUCAUUUGGUAAGCUUUAAAUAUAUUUAUGGUUUUGCCUGCAA